GACGAACCGUGCGAACGUUGUUCGGAAUCACUGGGCUUAAAGGGCGCGUAGGCGGUUCUCCCAGUCCGGGGUGAAAGCGCUCGGCUUAACCGGGCCAGUGCCUUGGAUACUGGAGAACUCGAGGGAGAUAGGGGCAGGUGGAACUUCCGGUGGAGCGGUGAAAUGCGUUGAUAUCGGAAGGAACGCCGGUGGCGAAAGCGGCCUGCUGGAUCUCCUCUGACGCUGAGGCGCGAAAGCCAGGGGAGCGAACGG
rnacentral:rRNA from 1 species